rnacentral:rRNA from 1 species
UGCGCAGGCGGUGCGGCAAGUCAGAUGUGAAAUCCCGGGGCUCAACCCCGGAACUGCAUUUGAUACUGCCGGACUUGAGUUCUGGAGAGGUGUGCGGAAUUCAUGGUGGAGCAGUGAAAUGCGUGGAUAUCAUGAGGAACGCUUAUGGCGAAGGCAGCACACUGGACAGUUACUGACGCUGAGGCACGAAGGCCAGGGGAGCAAACG